rnacentral:rRNA from 1 species
CUAGCGACUUCAGAGUUUGAUCCUGGCUCAGGAUGAACGCUAGCGGCAGGCUUAACACAUGCAAGUCGAGGGGCAGCAUUGUGAGUAGCAAUACUUACAGAUGGCGACCGGCGCAAGGGUGCGUAACGCGUGAGCAACAUGCCCGUAACAGGGGGAUAAUCCAGGGAAACUUGGUCUAAUACCGCAUAAUAUCAAUUAGAGGCAUCUUUGAUUGAUUAAAAUUUCGAUGGUUACGGAUUGGCUCGCGUGACAUUAGCUAGAUGGAGAGGUAACGGCUCACCAUGGCGACGAUGUCUAGGGGAACUGAGAGGUUUAUCCCCCACACUGGUACUGAGACACGGGCCAG